rnacentral:rRNA from 1 species
GACAGGAGGUGCAAACGUUGUUCGGAAUUACUGGGCGUAAAGCGUGUGUAGGCGGCCAUUCAAGUCGGAUGUGAAAGCCCCGGGCUCAACCCGGGAAGUGCACCCGAAACUGGAUGGCUUGAGUAUCGGAGAGGUUGGUGGAAUUCUCGGUGUAGAGGUGAAAUUCGUAGAUAUCGAGAGGAACACCGGUGGCGAAGGCGGCCAACUGGACGAAUACUGACGCUGAGACACGAAAAGCGUGGGGAGCAAACAGG